GGCCUUAUGGGGUAGUGGUCUAGCCUAGCGUUGGAUUCCAUCUAGAAAUCGCAGACGUCGGUUCGAAUCCGACUAAGGUUA